CUUGUCACCUGACGGUAUAUAUAGUUCGUGUCAUCCACGAUGACGCACAGAUUUCUCAAAUCUAACCUUUAAUAUUAUGAUAACACGAAUCAAGGCACGCUUCUUCGUGAAUGACACGAUUUAUAUUCAUAUUCAUUUAAUAAGCAUUGAUUAUACAUUGUCAAUAUAACAAACAGUAACGGUAGUAAUAUGUACAGAUAGUAAAAUAAAUUAAUUUCAGUCAA